GUGUGUCCCUGCUGAAAUGGCUUUCCUCCCUCUACCCAGUCACAUCACUCUUUCUGACUGUCUGCAAACGAGAUGCCAGUCAUCUCAGAAAUUUUUCUUCUGUGCUUUGUAGGUGUGAAGAAGCAGUGGGUACAGAGAGGUGUUAAUAUUAUGGCCAAAGGACUGCUUUCUGCUUUUCCGGGUUUCUGCUCCCAGCAGUACUUACCAAGAACUUCCAUGCCUGUCCCUGCUUCACCCAAACAGAUCCCAGUGUCAGAAAUAGGCAACAUAACACUCUGGUUUGUACUGGGCCCCUCUCCUGAGCCAAAUGAAUCAGAGUAUUGUUGGAUAUGCUGCAUGGCCAUUUAUUCUCUUAUGGUGUGCACAAAGGAGUACGAAGUAAGUCUUCCCUCUGGUAGGUGUCCUUGCCCUGUGGAAUGGAUUUCAUGGUACAUGGCAGUCACCCAGAGGAAGAAGACAAACAACAGGAUCCUCUCUUUCACAGCCACUGGGAGUGGAUCGUACACAUUCUCAUCAAGAUCACCACUGAUCAUUUGAUGGGAAUUAUCUGAUACAGAACAGACAUUCCUAAUCUUUAUUAUUUAUUUUUUUUUCCUGAAACACUAAAUAUAGUUAGAAGUAACUGAAGAGAUUGUUGCUAUUUCCUGUGAUCCUGCAGUACUUCCUGCUCUGGAGACUGAACCAAGCUAAAGCCUGGCCUGAGUUUAUGAAGGUCCUUAUAAGUCCUCCUUAAGAUUUUUAUGAUAUAUAACUUUAUUUAAGAUGACUUAAACAUGCUCUUUACUGUGCCACCCCAUGAAACUGCAGGACACACAAGCUUCUUUGAUUUCCAAUGUACUCUUGCAGAUCACUCUUCUUCAGCACAAACUUCCAGCAACAAUUCUUUCAGUUAGAACCUGACCUGGUCUCCAAUACAAUCAUGACACACAAACAGUCUUUAAGCUGUAAAAGACAGGAAGAUGUUGCAGUGCAGAUGAUUAAUUUUAUCUGCAAAAUAACAGUGCAGAUAGGGUUUUAAUUAAAGUUGGUGUUAAGGCAAUUCAUACUUUGAUAAAAAUCCUAGAUGUUUAAGAGCUGCUAUUUCAGCUGUAUUUCUGACUCAUUAAGGAUCUGUUUUUC
rnacentral:lncRNA from 1 species